AUUGAACGCUGGCGGCAUGCUUUACACAUGCAAGCCGAACGGUAACAGGUUAAGCUGACGAGUGGCGAACGGGUGAGUAAUGCAUCGGAACGUGCCCGGUCGUGGGGGAUAACGCAGCGAAAGCUGCGCUAAUACCGCAUACGAUCUGAGGAUGAAAGCGGGGGACCGUAAGGCCUCGCGCGAUCGGAGCGGCCGAUGUCAGAUUAGGUAGUUGGUAGGGUAAAGGCUCACCAAGCCAACGAUCUGUAGCUGGUCUGAGAGGACGACCAGCCACACUGGGACUGAGACACGGCCCAGACUCCUACGGGAGGCAGCAGUGGGGAAUUUUGGACAAUGGGCGAAAGCCUGAUCCAGCAAUGCCGCGUGCAGGAAGAAGGCCUUCGGGUUGUAAACUGCUUUUGUACGGAGCGAAAAGGUCUCCUCUAAUACAGGGGGCUCAUGACGGUACCGUAAAAAUAAGCACCGGCUAACUACGUGCCAGCCGCCGCCGUAA
rnacentral:rRNA from 1 species